CAGAUCUCUAAUUAUUGGCGACACUGCAGAAUCUUCGAAUUAUCUCAAGCGCACGUUCGCUCCUCUCCACAGUCCAUCCGUUCACUCCGGUUCGGAUAUAAGGUAAACGAUUAGGUAUAAAAUCUGUGAGUAUCGCAAAAGGACGAUGCUAAGCCUCUAUGAUCGAAUUUUUGUCUCUACUCAAAUUAACGAUUAAUGAAUAAAUCUGACGAACUCGGAGAGAGUAAUGGAGAUACACUGGCUAGAAUAAAGUUUUUUUAUUACACUGUAACAGCAUACACGAUUUCUCCUGAGUCGCAGGUAAUUUUUUCCCUCCCUUUUAUUACUUCGACAAUAUAUCAAAGGCGUUCCGAUGGAAUCGUUUAUACGAUUGUGAUAUCGAAGCUAAUUUACCAGUUACUUUAGAAAAUUCAUACUGCCGUUUUACAGAAAGGUGUAUAACGCAUUGCCAGUUCAAUUUCUCCCCGCAAUUACGUUCCAGUGACUGUUUGAGAAAACAUAUAUCUUGCAUGGAUCAAAGAUGUAAAAGUUAAGCCUCUUAUCUCCUCUGAUAAAGGACAUCUUACGAUUGAUAAAAGUUCCCAGAUGGAACUGUUUUUGAGAUACGUUAAUAACAUUCACUAUUUUUGUUAAAUUUCACAAACCAUUUUAACUAUAUAUGAUAAAAAUAAUAAGAGCAUAAAUAAUAAGAGUAAUAAUUUUCCCUUCACGAAGGAACGUAUUUUAAAAUUUUUUAAAAACGUAUGAUAAUACAAUUAUUUAAUAAUUUUCCCAAACAGUCCCCGGUUUCAGAGAUAAUCGCAUGGAUAUAUUAAAAUGUAGCACUCCAUAUUUAUUUACGUAUAGUCCUCCAGUUCUUCUUCAACAUGCACCUGUUUCCUAUGCGACAAACUGUUCACACGUGUCUAUUUAUGGCCUCCGAGUAUUAAUUAUCGAUAGAGAUUUCAUAAAAAAGUACUUAGGGCAAUAAAAUCGUCGCUCGUUUUGAUUUUUUUAUAUCUGUUCCGUUAGAUUGCUCUUAGUUGGUGUUUCACGUGACUGUUAGAAAAAAAAAAAAAAAAGAGUACAAAAACAACAUAUAAUCCGUUAAUAAAGAAAUUCGAAUAAAGAGACUAAUACGUUAUAAAAGCGUCAUUAAUCGUUGUCGAUGAUCCAAUAUACAUAUAUAUAUGUAUACCUUAUCGUAAAGUAGAUAUGCGCAUAGGUAACGUAUGCAAAGUGUGGCGCGAAAUAUAAAAUAUGUUAUAAUAUGCAGGCUUAUAUAGAAGCAACCAGUUUGUCUUUUGUUCUCUUUGUACUUUCAACAGCAGCAGAUACGUCGAUUUUGCUCCGCAUGUCUCUUUUAGUACUUAUGUAAUUGUGCUGAGACUUAAUUGAGGCGAAACGGCUCCGAGUUACGUGAUUGAGAAAAGAAAAGGUGAGCAUUAAACGAAAACCCUCUCUGACGUCGCAAAAGUAUUUGAUUAACGCAUGCGAUGGGGGAUACAUUUUUUUUUAGAAUGAAAACGUACCUUAUAGUAAUUAAGAUAUCGCCAGGAAUAUCGAUUAGUUAGAAUAUCGACAGUUAGCGCAAUGUGAUCAAAGAGCGCAUCGUUUCGUCAUGUCGAUCAUAUGAAAAUAACAGUUCAGCGUUUUUCUUAGCAUUUUUCUUUCGGAUUAUCUUCUACAUAUGCGUUAUCGCACGCGCGGUAACAUGGAAAUAUUUCACGGACAUAAGUAUAUAAAAUAUUUAGAAUGCACGUGAAUUUGCAUUAUUUUUUUCCUUCUCACAACUACGUCUCGCGAUUGCGCUUCAUCAUUGCGAAUUUAUAAUUUUAAGAUCGGACACAGAUAGGAUCUGAUCUCAGUUGCCGAGUAUUACCGUGUAUCGUUUACAAUUGUACAAAACUGUACCUCGUGUUAUAUCUAUAGUUAUCGUUCAACGCACGUUUAAUUCACUUUUCAUUCUUAUUAGUUACGAGAGAGCCAUGCUUAAGCGAGAAACAAAAUUUUUAUCUCUCAUAUAGAAUUCCUCACAAGUGGCAAAAUAUGAACAAAAUUAAAACGUACAUUCUUGCUCGUUGUAUUUUCAAACGUUGAGAUCUGUGUUAGAUCUGAAUUGUUCCUCAAUAUUGUCACAGUCGGACAAGCAGGCAAAAUCGUUUUUUAGAAAUUUAUAGCCGUAGUUUCGCCAUUAUUUCAAAUUCAACAGGCAAUUGUACAUGUCGGUUAUUUACAGCAAUGUUACUAUAAUAAUUAAUUAAACAAUUGAUUUUUCGGACGCACUUCUCCAAAUCGUUUUCUGGAAUGUAAAUGUGCUGGUCAUUGCGUGUCGAUAGAUUCUUAUCAAAUUUUCUGUUAUCGUUUCGUUUAAAUAGUUUUACAUUUCUUACUUGUGUUAGACACUUCUAACAUUUGAUUAGCAGCAUUCUGUAUGGCCUAAUAAACGUUUUCGUUCGCGUUUACCUAAUGGAAUUUACUUUUUUUGUUUUCAUUAUCUGCUAUGUAAAGCAUCUGCAUUCAUCUCCAUUGAAAUUAAAAUUUAACUUGAACAUUCACGACUUCGAAGAUAUUCAUGAAAUUAUUCUAGAAUAAACAACUCUCAUUAUUGUGAAAACGUUGCGUGUGAAAGGAUUCAAGGAGGAAACAAAAAAAAUCUGCGUUACAACUCGUACUUGUAAUUCAUAUGUAAAUAAAUAAAUAAAUAAAUGUAUCUAUUUGGAUCUAGCGUUUCACAGCAAGGACAAAAAUAAUUCACGGCGAUGAUUGAAUAAUAAUCACGCAUCGUGAAAUGAGAAUGAAGGUGAUUUUUAGACCUGUCUGAGGUGGCUUCUUACCUGAUAAAGUUUUCGUUUUAAACUUUACACUCUGUCUCUUAUAACAAUAACAACAACAAUAACAAUGAGUACAAUAAUUACAGUAACUGCGAUUUCUUAUAAAUAUUAUUUCGUUUUAAAGGACAUUAUUACUGAUUUGCGUGUGUGAGGAACAUAGAUUACGGUGAUGUUGUACAUAAAAAAUACGUUCGAAACGUGUUCGCGGCGAUGCAGUCUGAAUUCUUCGGUGUCGAACGAAGAAGCGUUUGCAGACAAGCGAGUACAUUGUUAAACGUAUUUGGACAUCGUAUGUACAAAUAACUGCAUCGGUUGUACUUCGCUUAAAAUUAGAUCGAAGCGUUAUCAGAAGUUCGUUAGAAGAUAGAGCGAUAAGUCUUGUCUUUGGUCCCUGAACCUACGACUCUUGUAUGACUUACUGCUUAGCACCUUGAGAUUUUGUCCUCUGAUUACAUACUGCGAGCUAAGAAGUGUAGCCAGCGUGCGAAGGAACAUGCGCGCGUGUAAUGAAAUCUUAAUAGCGCAUAUACUUAUUUAAAAAUAUUCAUUUCUCAAUUCAUACGCAUUCUCGUUAUAUUCCUGCUUCUGCGUUUCAGUCGUUUAUGA